CCCCAGUAAACGGCGGCCGUAACUAUAACGGUCCUAAGGUAGCGAAAUUCCUUGUCGGGUAAGUUCCGACCCGCACGAAAGGCGUAACGAUUUGGGCACUGUCUCAACAACAGACUCGGUGAAAUUGUAAUUCCGGUGAAGAUGCCGGAUACCUGCGACAGGACGGAAAGACCCCAUGGAGCUUUACUGUAGCUUGACAUUGGGUCUUGGUACUACAUGUACAGGAUAGGUGGGAGGCUUUGAAACCAGGACGCCAGUUUUGGCGGAGCCAUCCUUGGGAUACCACCCUUGUAGUACUGGGACUCUAACCAUAGGCCAUGAAUCUGGUCUUGGGACACUGUCAGGUGGGCAGUUUGACUGGGGCGGUCGCCUCCCAAAAGGUAACGGAGGCGCUCAAAGGUUCUCUCAGUACGGUCGGAAAUCGUACGUAGAGUGUAAAGGCAAAAGAGAGCUUGAUUGCAAGACAUACAGGUCGAGCAAGGAUGAAAAUCGGACUUAGUGAUCCGGUGGUUCUGCGUGGAAGGGCCAUCGCUCAACGGAUAAAAGCUACCCUGGGGAUAACAGGCUUAUCUCCCCCAAGAGUCCACAUCGACGGGGAGGUUUGGCACCUCGAUGUCGGCUCAUCACAUCCUGGGGCUGUAGUAGGUCCCAAGGGUUGGGCUGUUCGCCCAUUAAAGUGGUACGCGAGCUGGGUUCAGAACGUCGUGAGACAGUUCGGUCCCUAUCCGUCGCAGGCGUAGGAAAUUUGAGAAGACCUGUCCUUAGUACGAGAGGACCGGGAUGGACGUAC
rnacentral:rRNA from 1 species